rnacentral:lncRNA from 1 species
UACAAUUGACCAUCAUUAUGACGUAAUAAACAAUUGUUUAUUACGCAAUUGACUUAAGUCAAUAAUAUAAAAACAGUGGUAUGAUGAUAAAAAUAAUAUAACUAAAUUAAAGUUUAUCGUUUUACUUUGGUGUAUCCAACAAAUCAAGAAAUAUCGCGUUUAUACAUAACUAUCAAAAAAGACGGCGUUAUACACUGUAACAUUCUUCUGAAUCAAUAAAAAAAUCUUUUAACAUGAAAUACACAAUCUUUCUCGUUGUUUUGGCAUUGGUUUUUGUUUUUCUCAAACACGGAACUGGACAACCUGUUGCUUAUGAACGGAUCAAUGAAGCAGCAUUAGCAAGACACAGGAUAGCCAGGGAAGAAAAACCUGAUCCAUUAGAUUGUAAUAACUGUAGAACAUUCGCAUGUGGCCAGGCAUGUGCUGCCUUGAAUAAGCAAAAGGGAAAAUAACUUUUUGUAAUUUCUUUUGUUUCAAUGUAAAAAUCUUUUUCGGUUUUAUUUGUUUUAUUUU